rnacentral:rRNA from 1 species
UACAGAGGGUGCAAGCGUUGUUCGGAAUUAUUGGGCGUAAAGCGCGUGUAGGCGGCUUUGCAAGUCGGAUGUGAAAUCCCUCGGCUCAACCGAGGACGUGCAUCCGAAACUGCAGUGCUCGAGUAUGGAAGAGGGUCGCGGAAUUCUCGGUGUAGAGGUGAAAUUCGUAGAUAUUCGGAGGAACACCAGUGGCGAAGGCGGCUCACUGGCUCGAUACUGACGCUGAUGCGCGACAGCAUGGGGGAGCAAACAGG